rnacentral:rRNA from 1 species
GAAUUUUAUAUAAGUUUUAAUUGAUUUAUAUGUAAUAAAUUAGAGUUUAUAUUUGGUUGGGAGGAUUAUUAAAUUUAAUGAACUUUAAUAAAAAGAAACAUUAAUUUAUGAUUUAGAUUUUAUAGUGAUAGAUGAUUAAGGUUUUAUAAUCUUAUGGUAGAAUUAAUUACCUUAGGGAUAACAGCGUAAUAUUUUUAAAAAGAUCUUAUUGAUAAGAAUGAUUGC